rnacentral:rRNA from 1 species
GAUGAACGCUAGCGGCAGGCUUAAUACAUGCAAGUCGUGGGGCAGCAGGUUUGUAGCAAUACAGAUGCUGGCGACCGGCAAACGGGUGCGGAACACGUACAGAACCUUCCUUUGAGCGGGGAAUAGCCCAGAGAAAUUUGGAUUAAUACCCCAUAGUAUAAUGAAGUGGCAUCACUUUAUUAUUAAAGAUUUAUCACUCGAAGAUGGCUGUGCGGCUGAUUAGGUAGUUGGCGGGGUAAAAGGCCCACCAAGCCUGCGAUCAGUAACUGGUGUGAGAGCACGACCAGUCACACGGGCACUGAGACACGGGCCCGACUCCUACGGGAGGCAGCAGUAAGGAAUAUUGGUCAAUGGAGGCAAACUCUGAACCAGCCAUGCCGCGUGGAGGAUGAAGGUCCUCUGGAUUGUAAACUUCUUUAUAUGGGACGAAAAAAAGGCUUUUCUAAGUCGUCUGACGGUACCAUAUGAAUAAG